rnacentral:rRNA from 1 species
UACAGAGGGUGCAAGCGUUAAUCGGAAUUACUGGGCGUAAAGCGUGCGCAGGCGGUUUGUAAGUCUGUCGUGAAAUCCCCGGGCUCACCUGGAACCGCGCUUGAGACUGAUGGGCUAGAGUUCGGGAGAGGAUGGUGGAAUUCCCAGUGUAGAGGUGAAAUCGUAGAUAUUGGGAAGAACACCGAUGGCGAAGGCAGCCAUCUGGACCGACACUGGAGCUG